AACAGGAUUAGAUACCCUGGUAGUCCACGCUGUAAACGAUGUCGACUUGGAGGUUGUGCCCUUGAGGCGUGGCUUCCGGAGCUAACGCGUUAAGUCGACCGCCUGGGGAGUACGGCCGCAAGGUUAAAACUCAAAUGAAUUGACGGGGGCCCGCACAAGCGGUGGAGCAUGUGGUUUAAUUCGAUGCAACGCGAAGAACCUUACCUACUCUUGACGUCCAGAGAAUUUGCUAGAGAUAGCUUAGUGCCUUCGGGAACUCUGAGACAGGUGCUGCAUGGCUGUCGUCAGCUCGUGUUGUGAAAUGUUGGGUUAAGUCCCGCAACGAGCGCAACCCUUAUCCUUUGUUGCCAGCACGUAAUGGUGGGAACCCAAAGGAGACUGCCGGUGAUAAACCGGGGGAAGGUGGGGAUGACGUCAAGUCAUCAUGGCCCUUACGAGUAGGGCUACACACGUGCUACAAUGGCAUAUACAAAGAGAAGCGAACUCGCGAGAGCAAGCGGACCUCAUAAAGUAUGUCGUAGUCCGGAUUGGAGUCUGCAACUCGACUCCAUGAAGUCGGAAUCGCUAGUAAUCGUAGAUCAGAAUGCUACGGUGAAUACGUUCCCGGGCCUUGUACACACCGCCCGUCACACCAUGGGAGUGGGUUGCAAAAGAAGUAGGUAGCUUAACCUUCGGGAGGGCGCUUACCACUUUGUGAUUCAUGACUGGGGUGAAGUCGUAACAAGGUAACC
rnacentral:rRNA from 1 species